rfam:Schistosoma mansoni strain Puerto Rico chromosome 7, complete genome
AUCCAGUUGACUAGUCUCACAUAAGACGAAACAUGAGUCCUGGAU